rnacentral:rRNA from 1 species
UACGUAGGGGGCAAGCGUUGUUCGGAAUCAUUGGGCGUAAAGAGCGUGUAGGCGGCUUGGUAAGUCCGCUGUGAAAGUCCAGGGCUUAACCCUGGAAAGCCGGUGGAAACUGUCGAGCUAGAGUCCGGAAGAGGCGAGUGGAAUUCCUGGUGUAGCGGUGAAAUGCGCAGAUAUCAGGAGGAACACCAAUGGCGAAGGCAGCUCGCUGGGACGGUACUGACGCUGAGACGCGAAAGCGUGGGGAGCAAACAGG